GUGGCGAUGGCGGCGGCGGCGGCGGCGGGGCCCGGCGCGGGCGCGGCCGAGGACGCGUUCCUGACCUUCUAUAAUGAGGUGAAGCAAAUUGAAAAACGAGACUCUGUUUUAACAUCAAAAAACCAAAUUGACCGGCUGACCCGACCUGGAUCUUCAUAUUUCAACUUGAACCCUUUUGAGGUGUUGCAGAUGGAUCCUGAAGCCACAGAUGAAGAGAUAAAGAAAAGAUUCCGACAGCUGUCAAUAUUGGUGCACCCAGACAAAAACCAAGAUGAUGCAGAUAGAGCCCAGAAGGCGUUUGAAGCUGUAGAUAAAGCUUACAAGCUGCUGCUAGAUCAGGAGCAAAAGAAGAGAGCCUUGGAUGUAAUACAGGCAGGAAAAGAAUAUGUGGAACACACUGUGAAAGAAAAGAAGAAGCAGCUGAAGAAGGAUGGAAAACCUCCCACUGUAGAGGAGGAUGAUCCUGAAGUUUUCAAACAAGCUGUAUACAAACAGACGAUGAAGCUCUUCGCUGAACUGGAAAUUAAGAGGAAAGAAAGAGAAGCAAAAGAAAUGCAUGAAAGGAAGCGGCAGAGGGAAGAGGAAAUUGAAGCACAAGAGAAAGCUAAACGAGAACGAGAAUGGCAGAAGAACUUUGAGGAAAGUCGGGAUGGUCGUGUAGACAGCUGGAGAAAUUUCCAGGCAAAUACAAAGGGAAAGAAAGAAAAGAAAAACAGGACCUUCCUGAGACCUCCCAAAGUAAAAAUGGAGCAGCGUGAAUGAUCCUGGAAGCACUGCCCAAGUGCAGCUCCUCUGUCCCUUCUCUGCUUUUAAGGACUCAUUGGCACCUAGACACAGCAAUGCCCUUCCUGGCACUUUGCCCAAUGAAUCUCCACUGGUCAUGGAAGCCCUGGAACAAGUACUCAGUGUGCUCCCUCCUGACCCCAGGACCUGGAAGGAAAUGAGGAGCCCAGAGGACAGAUCUGGUGAGAGUAUUGGCCUUCUCUUGCUGAGCUGGGACCACCUCUCCACCCCUGGCCCAACCAGGGAGUGCCUCUGACCUGGAGCUGCUCCAGGGCCAGGCUACUCCAUCUCUGGACUGUGAGGCACCAGGUGCCACAGGAAUGUGACAAGCCCCUCACCAUCAGUAGAGCCUCAGCCACUGUGUUCCUCCUACUGCCUCCCCAAGGAAGGACCACAGGAACUGGUGUCAAGGUCCAGGGUGCAGCCAGGGCAUGGCUAAGCAUGUAACAAGUGCCAAGAGGGAAGUGAGUCACUCACCUGGGAGCCAGCAUGACGCCCUCUUUCCUGUCAGAGCCUCUUCCCAGGCAGGAGCAUACACACAACUUGGCCUUGCUGCUGGCUCCACUUGCAGCACAGACUGGUGUGUUGGGGUCUGUUACUGAGCUGGAGCAGGUGCUCUGUCACUCCAAGCUGAUGACACACAUUUCCUCUCUUCUGGUGACUCUGCAGUCAUGCUACGGUUACUUCCAUUCUGGUGCCCUCUUCUUAAGAGCUGCCAGUGUGGAGAGUGUCCAUCCCCAGGGCAGGGAAAAUAACAACUGGGAGACAACCAAGCAUCCUCAGUGAAACUCCCACUGCUACU